CUUCUUACAAGUAAAUCAGUUUUUACGAGAAGCACUUCUAAGAAGUCUUUCCGCAUCCAAACACAAUACAAAAAGUUUCUUAUUCCAAAAUUCUUCUUCUUCGCCGUAGGGUUUAACAGAGGGUUAAGCAAUGAGAAAUUAGGGCAGAGAUGUUGCUUAUUCUGCGAACACGACCGUUCCAUUUUACGCGCGAGCUUUUGCAUCUCAGACUAGGGUUUAUUCUUUAUUUCGCGAUUCUCAUUUCGAUCCGAAGAUUUUAAAGGGGGGGUUACAUUAUGUCUGAAGAACCAAGAUCAAAGCACAAAAAGCUUGAUAGAAAAGUGAAAUUUGCAGUUGGGAAAGCAAAAGUAUCUAACAAAGGAUUUGAAGGGAUUGAGAAUCCUACAAAGAAGAAAGAAAACAGUAAAUAUGAAAGAAAUUUCUCUCGUUCUGAUGCUCAAGUGAACAUUAAUGGCGAAAACAAGUUCUCUAGGUCAAAUUCCAGAGAUACGAAGUUCUUGCGACUUACGACUGAAAAACCUGGGUUUAAUUCAAAGAGAGUGUAUGGUGAUAGAGAUAUCAAUGAAGAAGGAAAUAGGAAUAAAUCAUUUACGCCCAGAAAAGGCUGGAAAAAUUUUGAUGAUGAUGAUAGGAAAAAAUUGUAUGGUAAGAAAAACAGUGAAAGAGAAGGAUUUGGGCAGGGUGGUAAUACAAGGAGAGAUGGAAAUGGGGAUUCAAAAUUUGGUGGUAGAAGUUCUCUGAAUAGAGUGGAAGGUCGAUUUAGAAAUGAGGAAGGUUCAGAUAAUAAUAGGAUUAGAGAGUUUAGAUCUUCAAGAGGUGAUGCUGGAAGUGACAAUUCGAGUUUUGAUGGGAAACGUUCCAGCCGUAGAGUUGAGAGUAAGUUCAGAAAUGAUGAUGGGAAUGACAAUAGAUUCAGGUCAAGAGAGAAGCCAGCAUUUAAAAGGGUAGCUGUGAGAGGCGAACUUGGUGGUAGAAGUUAUCCUAAUAGAGUGGAAGGUCGAUUUAGAAAUGAGGAGGAUUCAGAUGGUAAUAAUAGAGAAUUUAGAUCUUCAAGAGGCGAUGUUGGAAGUGAGAAUUCGAGUUUUCGUGGGAAACGUUCGAGUGGUAGAGUUGAAAGCAGGCUUAGAAAUGAUGAUGUGAAUGAUAAUAAAUUGUGGUCAAGAGAGAAGCCAACAUUCAAACGGGUAGCUACCAGAGCUGAAGGUGGGAAAGACGGGUUUAAGAAUAAAAAGCAAGUGAUUGAGAAGUAUGGUAAUAAGCAGCAAGCUGAGGCUGCUGAGAGUCUUCAAAAGGCUGAAAAGAGAUUUUUACGAUACAAGAAAGAUAAGGAGAACGCGGCUGAGGCGAGGGUUGUGAAGCCAAAGAAAAAAAAGAUGGGCAUCCAUUCACUUGAUAUUUCAAAUAAGCGUACUGAUGAUAGUGUUUCUGCUGAUGGUGAUACAGUGGAGAAGAAAGUUGAUGCACAAAAAGACGUUGAAUUAUCACAAAAUGCACAGUUCCGUGCUAUACAACCCAGCCCCUCCAUCCUUAAAUUUGUGGAAGAUAAUUUCUUGGGCCGUAGAAGGUUGGUUGAAUUUCAGAGAGCAGGAUACAACAUUGAACUCCCUGCACCUCUAGAUAAUGUGCCGUUUUCUACAAGUACCGAAAGAGAACGAAUUGAAGAAUCUGCAUUUAGGAAUAAAUUGGAUUUCUUUGCUGCUGCAAAGGUGUCUUCUUCAUUUCCACCUGUUGACCUUCCAGAGAUUGCAUUCGCUGGAAGGUCAAAUGUUGGGAAAUCAUCAUUACUUAACGCACUUACAAGACAGUGGGGAGUGGUGCGAACGUCUGAUAAGCCCGGGCAUACUCAGACAAUCAACUUCUUCAACCUCGGAAAAAAGCUGGCCUUGGUUGAUUUACCUGGAUAUGGUUUUGCUUAUGCAAAAGAGGAAGUUAAGGAUGCGUGGGAGGAGCUUGUUCAGGAGUACGUAUCUACCCGAGUGGGUUUGAAGCGUGUAUGCCUUCUUAUUGACACUAAGUGGGGUAUGAAGCCAAGGGAUCACGAGCUUAUUGAUUUGAUGGAAAGAUCGGAAACAAAUUACCAAAUUGUAUUGACCAAGACUGAUGUGGUUUUCCCGAUUGAUGUUGCACGUCGUGCCAUGCAGAUUGAGAAUACUCUCAAGGCAAACAAGUCUCUGGUUCAACCUGUGAUGAUGGUAAGUUCCCAGACUGGAGCUGGAAUCCGAUGCUUAAGAACUGUCCUUUCCAAGCUCAGCCGAUUGCCCAAACUAUAAAAUGUUUUGAGAGGUAUUCGUUUUCAGUUGUCUAAUCUUGUAAAACCUACGUUGGUGUCGUUAAUGCUGGGUCAAGUGAUCUCCCCAGGCUAUGGAAAGGAUUUUGAUUGGUCUUGACUUUGCACUUGACAAGUGAAGUAAAAAGUCUUAUAAUGCAACUACGCAAGACAACAAAGACAACGUCACGGAUCGAACAAGGACGGAGUCUAUAAUAGUUGCGAGUGACAUCUUGAGAAAAAGAAGGUUGUGUCAAUUAGACAAGGGUUAUCCCGUCUCCUUGCGUGCAUCCUCUAGAUUCCUACAAUCUUACUUCCAAGUAGACUUGUAAGGACGUUUUAUUGUAACCCUUAUCCGCUAAGGAUGUUUUAUCUAUCAUCUAUGUGACAUGAACCCCAAAUGAAAGUAGU